UACGGGGGGCGCAAGCGUUGUUCGGAUUUACUGGGCGUAAAGGGCGCGUAGGCGGCGCAACAAGUCACUUGUGAAAUCUCCGGGCUUAACCCGGAGCGGUCAAGUGAUACUGUCGUGCUAGAGUGCGGAAGGGGCUACUGGAAUUCUCGGUGUAGCGGUGAAAUGCGUAGAUAUCGAGAGGAACACCUGCGGCGAAGGCGGGUAGCUGGGCCGACACUGACGCUGAUGCGCGAAAGCCAGGGGAGCGAACGGG
rnacentral:rRNA from 1 species